GGAUGUGAGGGUGAUCUGGCUGAGACAUCUGUCACCCAAUUGAUCACCAGGGUUGAUUCGGCUGAUCUGGCUGGCUAGGCUGGUGUCCCCUUCCUCACUCACCGCUCCAUGUGCGUCCCUCCCGAAGCUGUGUGCUCGGGCUAAGAGGACGGCCUUCGCCUAAUAGAGACUGAAGACCACUCAGAGUAACUGCGUUCCCCUGCUAGAACCUCCAAACAAGCUCUCAAGUAUGAGGUCCUGAAUUCAAUCUCCCGCAUCACAUGUGCCAGAGUGAUGCUCUGCUUUUUCUC
ensembl:misc_RNA 7SK 7SK RNA